UACAUGAUACUAAUUACAGCAUAAUUAAAUGAAAGGAUUUUGAAUCAAUUAACCAAUCUUUAGCCUAAAACUUUAUAUAACAAGGUCUUCUCAUAGCAACUUCAUUAAAACCAUUUUCCUCCAUAGAUCUUGAAGACCUAACCCAAAGCACUUCCAAAAUUUAAUUAUAUCCAAUUAUUAUUAGAUAUAUCCAAUAAUAUCACUUCUCCUCUCCCUUUAUAGUAUUUGCCCUUCAGAGUCUUUGGAAAAUGCCACAAGAGGAUCUUCCCUACUCCAUUUCCUGCCUUUCGUUUCAUUGAUUCUCUCUUCUAAAGUCAGAUAAGUACACAACGAUAUCAGAAGGAUGCAGUUUUUUCAGCUUUUACAGCCAAUAUAAUGGUAUUUUCUAGCAGAUGCUCAAAUACUGCUCAUGGAUUGUUUGCAAGUUUCAUAGACAUAUAAUUUCAAGCUGAAAGAAAAGAGCUCCCAUGCUGAACACUGACAAGAGGCUUCUCUAACCCACUGGAUGGUGACAGCCUGGAGCCCUGAUGUUGUCUUGUGCCAGAGGACAAUGGCAUAAGCUGUGGAUCCUAACCACUGGUCUGGAAAACAAAACCUACCUUAUGAAGAACCGGGCUAAGCAGAUCUCGGAGUUUCUCCACCUGCCAACAUGAAGUGUGUCCUGAGUUCCUGAGGUUGGCGGGUCUUUGGCUGCCCCGCCACCAAUGUGUACAGGUGCACCAUGUGAACUGCACUGCAGGGAAGCCUCACUCUGUGUCUGGGCUCCAAGCAUCUCUCCGGAACAUUCUACGCCAGGAAAUGAAACAGGGAGAGCCAGCAUGAGCGCUAAUACCUUCUGACAUAGUGACUUAUUCCACAUACUCUUAAAUCAAAUGAAAAUGUGAAUCUUGACGUCCUUCUGAUACAAUUCUCCCAAGUAAUAAAAAAGCACUUGACUGUGAAUAUGACAAUGAAGGUGACAGUAGCUCACCGCAUUGUUUCUGCAGUGUCAGAUUAUAGCCUGGAUGAUGCCUCUCCAGAUAAGGGACAGGAAGAUCUUUCUCUGGAGAAACUGAAACACCAACUGGGGAUCCCCAACAAAAAUAGGUCCAACUUCUCCAUUGUCCUUCCACCAGUCUACAGCUCUGCCUGCCCUGAGAACUUCCAAUCAGCAUUUGGGUGCUUCACCCUCCAAUAGAGAGAGACACACAAGGAUCGUCAGAAGAGAUCAUGGCACAUUUCAUACUCUGUAAGAAUGUGUCUGAAGACAAGGCUGGCUAUAGCUUUCGAGAAGUCAUGUGACAAUUUUGUGGCCGGUCCUGCGAUGCGCCUACGGCAGAGGCAGUAAGCAUCCUCAUCCAUCCAUACGCUUCUUGAGUACCCACUCUGCCCGUGGAAUUAUACCGGAGUCCUUGAAUGCUGGUGAAUUUUUAAAUCUAGACGAAUAAACACCAACACAGUAUGGAAAGAGAAGUAGGAUUAUUGGGAUCUAAUUUGGGAAGCAAGCACGUAAAAGAAUCAUUCAUAAGAUGCUGGGUGAAGGGCAGCUCCCACGCAGGCAUGUUUCUACAGGCUGGGAUACAACAGUAAAGAAACAAAGUCUUUACAUCCAUCUAGUGUUAAAUUGGAUGGAGGAAUAGAGCUUUGAGAGAGACAGAGGGCCGGCAAUACACCCUGUGAUGGAAGGAUACUUCAGAAAUCAGUGAUGGCCAGAGUAAAGGGCAAAGUGCUGUUUGCUGAAAGAGUUUAAUCAGGGGAGGUAUGUCUUGUGAAUCAAUACAAUCCAGAGCACUGAUACAAAGAAGCACGUCUACUGUCAUCUGUAGCCUUCAUGCACGCUGACGGAUGGGCAGUCCAUCGACCUCUAUGUGGGAUGGAUUGAUGCUUUGAGACACCUCAGUUCUUGUUCAGACCAGUCCCUAUGACACAUAUCUGGUCAAAUCACACUUUUAAUAUCAUGAUGAUCUUUAAUCUCUGACAGUAAAUGGAAGAGAUCUUUUUAAAGCCUAAGCAGUAAUACAGAAAAAUGAGCACAAAAUGAAAUGGUUGGAACAAUAAAUGCAAAAACAUCCAUUUCCCUGCCCCCGCCCCGGAGUUCUAACUGGUCCCAGAUGUUCAGUUUGCGCCCCUAGAUAGCUACGUCUGCAGCCCCACAAGUUUCCUAGUGUAUGAGGAGGUAGCAAAAGACAAUUUGACCCUUUCCAAUAUGUGAGUAGAUGGACCUAAAUUCCUUCUUAAGAGUGAUUCUUGAUGACCGGUUGCCCUGGGCUAGUGUUGAAUUAUGGCUCAUGUAUGUGUUUCCCAGGGACUGUGCCUGGGAUAUUCCACUUUGAACAUCAAAUGCAUCUCUUGGAGGACAGCUAGCUCCACAUACUCUUCAGAACCAAAUGAAAGGGACCGAUGAAAUCAAGAGUUCCAUUCCUGGGCCACUCAGUCAAAGCUGGCUUGCAAAGGAGUAUCUUCAAACUGUCUGGGUUGCAUUGGGUACCACGCACUGACCGACGCAAUGGAGUGGCCUCCUGCCAUCCUUCCUGCCAAUGUUCAGCCCACACCUAUGCCUCUUCCUUGGGCAGCUUGUGUCCACUUAUUAAGACUUCCAUUUACAAAUGGUCCCGUCAUCCCUGACCUUUCUGAGAGAUGCCUUCCAAAGCAUUACAGGAAGAAGUCUGAUUCCCUCUGGAUAAUCCCUGUAAUAGACUGCAUGCUUGUGUCCUCCUAAAAUUUGUAUUUUGAAAUCCUACCACAGUGUGGGCAUUAGAAGGUGGGGCCUUUGGGAAGUGAUUAAGGUUAGACGAGGUCAUGAGGGUGAGGCCCCCUUGGUGGGAUUGGUGUCCGUAUGAGAAGGAAAGAGAGCUGAGCAUCCUGUCUCUGCCAGGAGAGGGCACUUGCCAGCCUGGCACUGCCGAAACCCUGAUCUCAGACUCACAGCCUCCAGAACCAUGAGAAACAAAUGUCUAUUGCAUAAACACCUAGUGUAUGGUAUUUUGUUACAGCAGCUAGAGCUGAUUAAGACAAUAUCCAUGCUUAGGGAUGUAAGAGACUUUACAGCAGGUCUAAAUUCUAGUUCGUAGGUCCCUGCAAAGGAGUAUAUAUAAAACACCGAAGAGAGCCUGGGGUAGCAUUUCCCCUCUGCUUUCAGAAAUACGAGCUUUCUGAAUUCUGAUACUCUUCUUAUCAAUUCCAUAAGCUCACAUAAUAUUAUACUCCUUAGCCAGUGGCUGCAACUAUACUUUUUCAAAGUAGGCUUUUUACGGACAUGAUAGGGGCCCCUCUCAAUUCUCAGUCAUAUUUUUCUCUAUGAUAAAAACCCUCACUGGCAGAGAAAUCCUUGACUACAAAAAAUGAUAUCUGUCUAUGCCCUGCUGCACAACAAUGAGACUGGAUUUUUCCUCCGUGGCCUAUGCAGUCCACUCUCAUUACUUUAUAGGUCUAAUACAUUGAUAGCGUAGACACCCUGUCUAAGUCUUCCUUUAUUUGGAAGGUAAAUUAAUGUAACCCAGGUGGAGUGAAUUCGGGCAGAAAUGAUAAUGGUUUGAGUAUAGGCUGAUGAAUAUUCUAGCUCAGCCCUUGGAGUAUGGCAUGCCAAAUGUGACCAGGAUGAAAGUAGCAGAUUUUAUUAAGACUCAUCAUACUUGGAUGAAAAAGGCACCAUUUUCCAUGUUGUGUUUUCAUUGGGUAGGGGACAAUGUGCAGACAGUAAGGGUCCUUCCCACGGCUGCACGGAAAAUCACUGGCAAAGCUGCCUCAAUGCCAUGCACAUGGCCUGAGACCCAUGCAGGUCUGCACAGCCUCCUCCCAUGCUAGGGGCCCAUGCUUGGUUUAAUGUUCUGCAGCCAUUUUCUUGAAAUGCUUAAUAAUUUCUGAACAGAGGGCCACACACUUCCAUUCUUCAUAAGUUUUGAGUAUUUUGCACACAUCAUUUGGACUUCAUAGUCUGGAAUUACAAAUUAUACCUCACAGCUGAAUAUUAUUAAGAACCUAGUACAAUGAGGGGAGAAAUGACUUAACAUUUUCCAGUUGACAGGUCAAGCCCCGAAAGUAGCGGCUCCAGGGACUUGUAAGAAGGUGGGUGAAUUCGUAUACAUAGUUCCUAAAAAGGAAGGAGAUGAGGCGUACCAUAAAAAGUUGCUGUAGUGUAUGCAAAGGCUUUCUCAACCCUGGCAGUAGUAACCUGAGAUUUUUGCCCAAAGUUAGAAACUUUGGAAUUCAUUUAAAAUCAUGAACCAGAAGCAGAAUUUGCAAUGUUUGGGUUUCUGUACUAUAAAGUACUAUAAAUAAAUUGGCUGUGCAUUUAGGUCUUUGAAACUUUAAGUGCAUUUAAAUCAUAAAGUGUGGGUAGGACUGUUUGAACUGUGCUAAUCCAACUUUUAUUAUGAAUCCAAAGUGAAUGAGUUUUAGUUCGUUUUUCUUGAAACCUAUGGAUUCUUGGUGAUCGCAAAGGCGUCAUCAAGUUACCGUACAUUUAACUCCAUUCUUUACUUAACUCCAACAUGGCCCAACGUAACACAUUGCUUGACUGAUCCGCCUAUAUGGUGUCAUUCUUAUUGCCAAUCUUAUACUUUGCUUUGAUAGAAUUAUUUUAAAAAGCAGAGUAUCAAUGUGAUAACGUCCUAUUGCUUAGCGACCAUUUGCCUUUUACCUAUUUAGUGUCAUUUUUUUUCAGAUCGUGGUGCAAGAAAAUACCCUCCUUUUAUACCUUGUCUUUCUCUACUGCAGUGGUUUUCAAUUAGGGGUGAAUUCAUUCCCCAGGGGGUCUUUGACAAUGUCUGGAGGCAUUUUUGAUUGUCAGAAUUGGGGAUGCUACUGGCAUUUAGUGGAUAGAGGACAGGGCUGCUGCUCAACAUCUUCUAGUGCCCUGAAAAACUUCCCCAACAAAGAACUCUCUGGCCCCACAUUUCAAUAGUGCCAAGGUGGAGAAUCCCCAUUCUGUAGCUUAGAUUCCACCUGCAGUGUUAGUUUCUGCUGUCCUAAAUAAGGUGAAAAUGGGAAUGCUCGUAUGUAGCUCAGCUACUUGAUUACUGACAAGGCAAGUUUCAGCUAGACUGGCAGUUAUUUUUUAAGGUAAAGAGCCAGGAGUGUUCCCUGCAAAAGGUACCGAGGUGUAGGCACUAGAGUUGUUUUGUACAAGGCAAACUUUGCCUAGAUUAGUCUAAAGAGUGAGGCUUUCUUUGGGUCUCAGUCUGUGUUAAUACUCUGGCAUUCUCUGUAGAAGCAUGGUUUGGGAAUUUGUUGAGCGAGAGUAGCAGUUUGAAAUUGGGUUUGUCUACGUGACCAUUGAAUUCUGUAAAUGUUUGUGGAGCAUCACAUAGGCCAUGGGCAUUAGAGUGAGUAUUUAAGGAAUAUAAAUAUCAGGCGUUGUCCCUACCAUCAACAAGGGCAAUGGCUGGCCCUCCAGGAGGCAGAGAGAAGCAUGGAGGGGAAAUAUUUUCACCUCCCAAGCAGUUGUGACUUUGGGGGUUUAUGUUCAUUCCCAUUUCAGUAAUGGUUCAAUGGUCUGAUUUACAGUAGUAAAGCCAAGUCGCUGGGCUUUGGAGGGACCUGGUUAGAGGCGUAAGAACUCCUUUUGCAUUCAGUAAGCUGGAAGUCAUGUAGACAUAGUCAUGGUGUGAAUGAGUGUAGCUCUGAGAGAUUAUACAGCCGGGAUGUCAUUAGGUCUUUUACUAAUCAGGGACUGCUGAUUUUCUCAGUUCUCCUCUGCUGCCGGGGCACAAGUGGGUAACUUCUCACCAUCAACCAGUCAUCUAGGUACCGUCACCUUUUCCAUAAGAUCAUGAAAUCCGGUGUGAGGGAAGACUGAGCCAAAUUUUAUAACCCAAGUAAGUGUCGCUUCUGCUGGGCAGUACAUAGCUGAUAUGCUUGAUGCAGAUGAGUCCCCACCAGAUGCCAAUGGAAAAUAAGGGUGGCAAUGUAUCCGAGGUGACUUAAAGAAGGUCUUUGAUCAAGUGAGUGUCAGGUGACCUCUGAGCUCUCCCACAGUCCUUGGGUUCCCAAACGGUGCCCUUCUCAGGGCUUUGCUAGGUCUGCUCACUCAAGUCCAGGGCAGCCGGCCCUCCCCGUUCUUGGGCAACCUUCCCAGAAUCGAUUUCCGUACUCUUCUGAUAAGUUCCCUCCUUCUUUCAUUUCAAACUUCAGUUUCUUAUUUAGAUUCAAGGAAAACCUUCAUUCUUCAAAAAUUGUCUCUUUUCUUCUCCUUUCCUGUCAAAUCUCAUCUCCCUUCAACCUGAGCCUGAAACCCAAUUUUGUAGAUCAGCACUAUCCUGUAGCAAUUCAGUGCAAACCACAUAUACAUAUUUAAAAUAUUCCGGCGAACACAGUACAUAAAUUUAAAAGAAACAAGUGCAGUAAAUUUUAGAAAUAAACUCUAUUUAACUCAAUUUAUAAAAAAUAAUACCACUUAAACAAUUGUGUGUUGGGGUUGUUGUAAAUAAUAAAUAUUUAAUAUUAAGAACACUUAUUAAGUGCUGUUAUUGCUGAUAACAUGGUGACAGCUAUUGUUUAUAUUUCCUUUGAGCAAAGUUCCAGGCUUCUCUCUGAUCCUUGUAUAUUUAUCCCUGGUCUGGGCAAGGGCCUGCCGGAAUUUUGCCAUUAUGGAGUACAUUUCAGAGAGCAGAGAGAAUGUGGGAUUGAAUAUGUAUAAAUAGAAAGAUGCAUAUGUAAAAUAUCCAUGACUUCUUGAGGCUCUGGCAUUUCUAGAAAUCUUAACAUGAAAGUCAUACAAUUAAUAUUUUGGAUUACAGAUAAUAAUAUUUCACAUUAGCCAAUUUACACACAUUCCUUGAAAAUAAAAUCUAAGCAUUAUACUAGUUUUGACAUUAAAUAAUUUUACAAUAAAAAGAGAUUAUUUGUAGACAUUCUGUCUCACUGAUUCAAGUAAUACUUUAACCUUGACCAAUCGCCAUUUCUGAGUACAGAGUCUAGAGCACUGUAUCAUGAGUUUCACUAAUAUUUUAUCUUGAUUGAGCUUUUAUCAAAACAGGCCUAUUAGCUAGAUAGUGCUUUAGUAACACCACAAACAUCGUGGCUCAAACAACAGAAAUUUAUUUUCUCCGAGUUCUGGGGGUUGGAAGCCCAGAAAAGGUUGGUUUCUUUUGAGGCCUUUCCGCAUAGGUUGAAGAUUUCUGACGUCUUGCUGUGUCCUCGUGUGGUCUUUCUUCUGUGCAAAUGUAUAUCUACAUCUUAAUUUCUCUUCUGAUGAGGACACCAGUCAUAUUGGACUUGGGCCCACCUUAAUGCCCUCCUUUUAUCUUGAUUAAAAGCCCUGUCUCCAAAUGCAAUCACAGUGUGAGGAAUUGGGGGUUAGCACUUCAACAUCUGAAUUUUGAGGCUGUGCAGUUUAGCUCAUGAUGUCAUUUAAGAGAGAAUAUCUUCUGUCUUUACCUAUCCACCUUCAUUAGCCAUUUAGCUGUGAAACCAUCGACACAAGUCACCUAUCCCUUUCUAUUGACCACGUUAGAAUUCUGAGGGGUUUGUUCUCUUUCCCCAGACAUCUCUCUCUUUGAUUAAUGUCUACCUUGCAAACACGUUUUCCUACCAAUCUGACUAUGGCUCAGCGAAGAAAUUCUCUAAAAAAAAAUUUUUUUUUUUGCUUGGGAUAUUUUAAAAUGUAUAACGACACUUUCUACAUUUAAUUUCAUGGACUGGAAAGAUGAUUUGGUUUUGAUUUUUUUGCAUUAAUUUUAAGAUUGAGUAUCUCAGAAAUCACUUGGACUCUGCUUUUAAUUCUCAAACUUGCUUCAAAUACGAAAAUUGUUUUUCUAUGGCCAUAUAAUCAAACUAGUUUUAGACCAAAGACUCAUAUUUAAAUAAUACUCUUGCGGGUAUCUUGUGUUCUCAAAUCCAUACAGCUGAUAAAAGACUGAAGAGUUAAUAUUUGACCUUUCCCCCUUACAGUUGCCAUGGUCUUCUUUAUGUCCUGGGUCAAAUCUCUUGUCCUCUGUUUGCUCUUGUGUCUUUUAGGAAAGUUCACAUUACACCCAAACUUUCUCUGGCUAUGCGUGUAUUCACACUAUGUUAAAGGAGGUUCAAUGCACGGUGUAUAAUCCUUAUAAGUCUCAGGAAAACUAAUUGAUUAGCAGUUAUUAUGUAGAGUUCCUUUUCCUCAGUAUCUGUCUACAUAAUGUCAAAAUGAAAUGCUGGGUUGAAAUGAGAAAAUUUUGUCUAUCAGUGAUAUGGUCUGACUGCAUGAUACUCCAAGAAAACACUCAAUUAAAUUUUCUUAUGGUGAAGCUAGUAUUAUUUAUAGACUUUUAGGGGGUGGGGAGCGGGAACCUAUUCUUAGGUGUUUUUCUGUUACUGGCAAAUUUCUAUUUUUUCUAGUCUGUCCUAAGACUUAUGCAUGGCUUCUUUGAGUCAGGGGUUGAUUUUUUGUUGUUUGCUCAUUUGUGGAUGAGCUCUUAAGUAGCUGGCCAUUAUAGAGUUAGAUUUUGGCCCUAUAGUGAUGUUCUUCUAAACAAGUUCAGUGAUAUUAACAGUUAGAAACAAGAUACACAGGGUUCUUUUUUAUUAGAUGUUUGGACUUACCUACUUCAAGUGCCGUGUGGGCAGUUAUUGGCCCCCAAUUCACACAAGGCUUUGUCUGUGAGAGAGUGAUUCCUUACCACUGCCCGUUGGGUGAUGGCUCCCGCAGCUUCUAUUUGGAGGCAUCAUAUGAAGUUGUUCUUCCCAGUCUCAUUCCUUGAUUCCAUGUCCUUCUUGGCUUUUCCACUGGCUCUUUGUUUUGCACGAGACAGUUUGGAGCCAUGGUGACUCAUCGUUUGAGUAGAACCAUCUUUCAAGUGCCAUGAGAUGACCACUUCUCUGCUAAUGUGGUCCGUGCAUUUCACAAACCCAACCUGAGUGUGUUUGGCCGGUCAACAUUAAGUACGGCUUAGGCAAUGGUGAGGUAUCAUUUGAAAACAUACAUGUUUUAUUUUAGAAGGUUCAGGCUGCAGGAUAAAUAGAAGUUUGAUAUGAGGAGCACUGCAUAUGUUUUCAGCUUGCUCUGCAUCUGUGCCACAGUGUUGCUGCCCAUUUUUUGCCAAGCUUCUAGAAGGACAUGUCUGGAUCUGGUAGGAUGGGGCUUGUCAACUUGAUUAUAUCGAGGAGACCACUGCCUCUCUUGCUUAUUGUAUGAGAGAUUCUUUAUUGUUAUCUUGUUUUCUGUAAUAGUGGUUCACAUUUGUUCACAGAUGCACUCAUUCAUCUACACACACAUGAGUACGCACGUUCGGCACAUGCACAUCUGCCUGCUGUGGGGCACUGCGUGGGCACCGGUGAUCACAAGGCAAGUAACAGAGACCAUUCUCAGUGGGCUCACAGUGUUCUGGGAGAGAAGCACUUUCAGCCUGCUAUAUGGGAUGAUGUGCAAUCAGUCCAGCCUGUACCGGUGCCCUAAUGAGAACAUGUCUCCAUGGUGGAGUGGGAAUUAGCCAAAUAAAAUGUGGAGAAAAGGUCUUCUAGGCCAUAAAAGCAUAAGUGAAGGCAGAUGACGAGAGACAAUCUUGUGCCUUGGAGAAUUAUGAGCAGUCGGUACUACUGGAGCUUCAUCAUGAAAUAGCAAGAGGGGCUGGUUGUUGAUAAGAGACGGAUCUGGAGAAAUAGGCGGCUGGUCGGGUUACCUGGGUGGCUCAGUCGGUUGAGUGUCCAACUUCGGCUCAGGUCAUGGUCUU